rnacentral:rRNA from 1 species
AGAAUCAACGCUGGCGGCGUGCCUAACACAUGCAAGUCGAACGAGAAAGUGGAGCAAUCCAUGAGUAAAGUGGCGACCGGGUGAGUAACACGUGACUAACCUACCCUAGAGUGGGGAAUAACUUCGGGAAACCGAGGCUAAUACCGCAUAACAUCGCAGAGGGAAGCUCUUUGCGAUCAAAGGAGUAAUUCGCUCAAGGAGGGGGUCGCGGCUGAUUAGCUAGUUGGUGAGGUAACGGCCCACCAAGGCUAAGAUCAGUAUCCGGCCUGAGAGGGGCGCGACGGAACGACGACCUAGGAACGUGAAACACGGUCCAGACUCCUACGGGAGGCAGCAGUGGGGAAUUUUGCGCAAUGGGGGAAACCCUGACGCAGCAACGCCGCGUGGAGGAUGAAGUCCCUUGGGAUGUAAACUCCUUUCGAUCGGGACGAUUAUGACGGUACCGGAAGAAGAAGCACCGGCUAACUUCGUGCCAGCAGCCGC